UACGUAGGUGGCAAGCGUUGUCCGGAAUUAUUGGGCGUAAAGCGCGCGCAGGCGGCCUCUUAAGUCUGAUGUGAAAGCCCCCCGGCUCAACCGGGGAGGGCCUUGGAAACUGGGAGGCUUGAGUAUAGGAGAGAAGAGUGGAAUUCCACGUGUAGCGGUGAAAUGCGUAGAGAUGUGGAGGAACACCAGUGGCGAAGGCGACUCUUUGGCCUAUAACUGACGCUGAGGCGCGAAAGCGUGGGGAGCAAACAGGAUUAGAUACCCCGGUAGUCC
rnacentral:rRNA from 1 species